GAGAGGGGCUCGAAGCAACGGAAACUGCUAACUUCCGACCCCUGAGUUAAACUCCCAGGCCCACUCG
rnacentral:tRNA from 1 species